rnacentral:rRNA from 1 species
GAUGAACGCUAGCGGCAGGCUUAACACAUGCAAGUCGAGGGGUAGAGGAAGCUUGCUUCCUUGAGACCGGCGCACGGGUGCGUAACGCGUAUACAAUCUACCUUUUACAGAGGGAUAGCCCCAGAGAAAAUUUGGAUUAAUACCUCAUAGUAUUUUCGGAUCGCAUGAUUUGAUUAUUAAAGUUCCAACGGUAAAGAUGAGUAUGCGUCCCAUUAGCUAGAUGGUAAGGUAACGGCUUACCAUGGCAAUGAUGGGUAGGGGUCCUGAGAGGGAGAUCCCCCACACUGGUACUGAGACACGGACCAGACUCCUACGGGAGGCAGCAGUGAGGAAUAUUGGGACAAUGGGCGCAAGCCUGAUCCAGCCCAUGCCGCGUGCAGGAAUAAGGUCCUAUGGAUUAGUAAAUGCUUUAUACAGGAAGAAACACACCCUCGUGAGGGUACUUGACGGUACU